rnacentral:rRNA from 1 species
UACGUAGGGUGCGAGCGUUAAUCGGAAUUACUGGGCGUAAAGCGUGCGCAGGCGGUUAUAUAAGACAGGCGUGAAAUCCCCGGGCUCAACCUGGGAAUUGCGCUUGUGACUGCAAAGCUGGAGUACGGCAGAGGGGGAUGGAAUUCCGCGUGUAGCAGUGAAAUGCGUAGAUAUGCGGAGGAACACCAAUGGCGAAGGCAAUCCCCUGGGCCUGUACUGACGCUCAUGCACGAAAGCGUGGGGAGCAAACAGG